UACGUAGGGUCCGAGCGUUGUCCGGAAUUACUGGGCGUAAAGAGCUCGUAGGUGGUUUGUCGCGUUGUUCGUGAAAACUCACAGCUCAACUGUGGGCGUGCGGGCGAUACGGGCAGACUGGAGUACUGCAGGGGAGACUGGAAUUCCUGGUGUAGCGGUGGAAUGCGCAGAUAUUAGGAGGAACACCGGUGGCGAAGGCGGGUCUCUGGGCAGUAACUGACGCUGAGGAGCGAAAGCGUGGGGAGCGAACAGG
rnacentral:rRNA from 1 species